rnacentral:lncRNA from 1 species
GGGUCUCUGGGGACGGGGCACAUUGGAGGCUCCUUCCUGAGCCCCCAUUCUCUCCUGUGUCUUUCAGUGAGCUCUUCGGCCCAAGUGGUCCCCCCGGCCUUAAGCGGCAUAGUGAGCUCUUCCAAACAGGUGGGCUCCCUAGCAUUGACCGACAGAGUGAGCUCUGCCACCCAGGACAUCCCCCUGGCAUUGACUGGCAUAGAUGCUGACCCUGGAGGAAGACUUGUGUCGGGCCCCCAGGCCCCAGGCCAGUGUCCAUCAGCCAGGUGCUCAGCUCCCAGUGCGCUGAAGCUCAGACCCUUCCUGGCACCCUGGUGUCCAGCACUGAGCUGUGUGAGCUUUUCCACCCAGGUGGGCCCCCUGGCAUUGACCGACAUAGAUGAUGAGACUGGAGGAAGACUUCCAUUGGGCCCACUUUUCCUGGGCCAGUGUCCAUCAGCCAGGUGCUCAGCCCCUGGUGUACUGAAGCUCCAGCCUUUCCUGGUGCCCCAGUCUUCUGCACUAAGCUGUGUGAGCUCUUCCACCCAGGAGGGCCCCUUGGCAUUGACUGGCAUAGAUGGUGAGACGGGAGGAAGACUUGUGUUGGGCCUGCUGUUCCUGGGCCAGUGGCCAUCAGCCUGUUGCCCAGCCCCUGAGGCGCUGAAGCUCAGGCCCUUCCUCACACCCUGGUCUCCUGCACUAGCUGUGUGAGCUCUUCUGCCCAGGUGGGGCCCAUGGCCUUACACGACAUAGGAGCACGCAUUUCUUGAAGUCCUGCAAAGGUGAUGGUGGUCCAGACAGGAGAGGGUUCCUUCAGCCCAACAUAGCGCAGCUCCCAGCUGAAACUCGGAAGGCUGGUCAGGCCUCGAGGACUGCCCAGGCCACAUGAGGGUUUGGUGGCCGGGAGGGCCAAUGAUGCUCUGCGUCUGUGUUGGAUCAGUGUUCUUCAUGGAUUCCAUCACAUGGUGAGCCUUGAGGAAGACUUGUAUUGGGCCCCCACAGGCCCCAGGCCAGUGUCCGUCAGCCUGGUGCUCACCCCCAGUGUGCUGAAGCUCAGACCCUCCGUGGCACCCUGGUCUCCUGCACUGAGCUGUGUGAACUUUUCCUCCCAGAUGGGCCCCCUGGCAUUGACUGGCAUAGAUGGUGAGACCGGAGGAAGACUUGCAUUGGGCCUGUUGUUCCUGGGCCAGUGGCCAUCAGCCUGUUGCCCAGCCCCUGAUGCGCUGAAGCUCGGGCCCUUCCUCGCGCCCUGGUCUCCUGCACUGAGCUGUGUGAGCUCUUCUGCCCAGGUGAGGCCCAUGGCCUUAAGCGGCAUAGAUGGUGAGCCUGGAGGAAGACUUGUAUUGGGACCCUACAGGCCCCAGGCCAGUGUCUGUCAGCCUGGUGCUCAUCCCCCAGUGCGCUGAAGCUCAGACCCUCCCUGGCACCCUGGUCUCCUGCACUGAGCUGUGAUGGUGAGUCUGGAGGAAGACUUGUGUUGGACCCCCACAGGCCCCAGGCCAGUGUCCAUCAGCCUGGUGCUAAUCCCCCAGUGCUCUGGAGUUUGGACCCUCCCUGGCACCCUGGUCUCCUGCACUGAGCUGUGUGAGCUCUUCCACCCGGGCGGGCCCCCGGCAUUGACUGGCAUAGGUGGUGAGCCCGGAGGAGGACUUGCGUUCGGCCCGCUGGUCCCAGUGUGUCCGGAAUUGGUGGGUUCUUGGUCUCACUGACUUCAAGAAUGAAGCUGCGGACCCUCGCUAUGAUGAUAUGGAAGAAAAGCACUCUUUGGCCUGUUGUGACUGGGACAGUUGACAGCACCCAGGUGUCCUUUAAUGAAAAUGCUCUUGACACCAAUGCAUCCUAGCAUCACAGCUUCAGGAAGCCUUCUCAAGUGUGCAUGGGGAGUACUAUGUCUUUCAUCAAUAAUGAAAUCUUCUGAUUUGUAAGACAUGCUGCCAAGAGAUGUGCCAUUCUAUUAUAAAAGAUCAGUAGCUUCCUUUACCGACGUGUAUAUUCUAUCUAGAACAUUGAGCUAUGGAAGACUCCCACCUAAGGGAAUUAGUUUUACACCUUCAGAUAAAGACUGCUGAGAAGAGCACCCUCUGGUGUUGUCACAGAGGCAAGUGCUACCGCACAGGCAUGCUGCAGUGAAUUUAACUGAUCCUCUGUCCCUGCAACCGUUGUUUAAGGAUGCUAUUCUGAAAAGACUGUGGAGGAAGAAAACCCUUUACCCUGUUGUUCAGGGAGAAACUGACACCACUCAACUGCCUGGCACUGAAAAUGUGGCAUCCAGUCCACUUUACCAUCAGUGUUUAAGGAAACCAUCUCUGAUAAGGAUGACUGAGGAAGAGUACUCUUUGGCUUGUUGACACCAGCACAGCUGACACACCCAGAUAUCUGUUUGGUCUCCUGUGAACUUUCAACCAGGAUUUAAGGAUGCCACUCUGGUUAAAAGCUGAAACAACUUCAAGGAAACUUCAGGGAAAAGAGAAGGCCUGGAAUCUGAUCCUCCACUUCAGAGAACAGGGGUGGUGGAGUCUAUGGCCCUUCUCCUUGAAUCUGAGUGAAAUUAGUGAGUCUUUCAAUCCAAAGACUACAGUCAUACCUCAACUAUCUACAGAGGACUGGUUCCAGGACUCCCAUGGAUCCCAAAAUCCAAGGAUGCUUCGAAUCCCUUAUAUAAAAUGGCAUGGUAUUUGCAUAUAACCUACAUGCAUCUUCAAAUAUGUUAAACCAUCUCUAGAUUACUUAUAAUACCAAAUACAAUGUAAUGCUAUGUAAACAGUUGUUACAAUGUAUUGUCAAAGACAAGCUCUCCUUGCCAAUCCCUGACCAAAUGAGAGAUUCAUGAGCAAAAUAAAUAGUUGCUGAUAUUUAAGGCACUAAGUUUGGGGCAAUGUAUUACACAGCAAUAAAUAACUGGAACAGCAUAGUAAAUUCUAGUUAAAAAUACUAAACUACUAAGUUUUAGUUAACAUACAUGCUCAAGUUAAGGGUGUGGUAUACUAACAACUGCAACUUACUUUGAAAAGCAUAAAAAAAGACACUAGAAGAAGACAGGAUGGAUAGAUGGACAAGAUAGAAGACAAUAACAAAUAGAACAAAAUGUUGUGAAAUUAUAUUCUACAAUUAUUUUAAAGUCUGUGUGGUUUGAAAAAUUGUACGAUAAAAUGAAGAGUGAAAUAAAGACAUUUCCAUACAAACAAAAGCUGAAAGAUUUUGUAGCCAGUAGACCUAUACUUUAGAAAUGUUUAAGAAAUUUUUUCAAGUAAAAGGAAAAUAACACCAGCAACAAACUUGGAUCUACAAAAAGGAAUCUCCACAAAGAAAAAUAAAUAAAAAUGGUAAAUAUGAAGGUAAAUAUAAAGGAAUGUUAUUCUUAGUUUUUAAGUUUCUUCGUAAGACAACUGGCCUUUGAAAGAAAUAGUUUCAAACGCUGCUGUGGAAUCUAUAACACAUAUAGAAGUAAAAUGUUAAGAUCAUAAUACCAAAAAGAAUGAGGGAGAGUAAAUGGAUGUAUACUAUUCCAAAAUUCUUACAUUAUACAUUAAGAGGAAUAAUAUUUUUGAAGGUAGAUUGAGGUAAGUUAAAGGUGCAUAUUGUAAAUCCUAGAAGUAUCACUGGGGGGAAAAAAAACAGAGGGACAAGCUAAUAAUGGAGACAAUACAAAAUUCCAAAAAUGCUCCAUUAACCGAAAAGAAGGCAGAAAAGGAAGAAAAGAUUAGACAAAUAGAAAACAAAUAGUGUCUUAAACACAAUUAUAUUGCCAACUGCAAUAAAUGUAAAUGGACUUAAUCAAAAAGCAACGAUCGUAAAAAGUCAAUCUGAAAGCAAGAUGCAACUAUAUGCUAUCUAAAAGAAAGACAUUAAAUGACCAAUAAGCUGAAAAUAAAAACACAGCAAAAUGAUAUAAUGUGCAAAAAUUAAUCAUAAGAAAGGAAUGGAUACACUAAUAUCAAAGUAGACUUUAGAUAAGGAACAUUACCAGCGAUAAACAGAGACAUUUCAUAAUGAUAAAGACAUCAAUUAAUCAAGGAGAUCUAACAGUCCUAAAUGUGAACACACCUAAGGACACAA